UUUGACCCCAUACCGUCACCAUGUGUGUUUUCAUGUAAAUGGGCCAACAAAACUAUAAAUUGUUAGAAUUUAAACAAGGUUUAUGUAGACUACAAAAACAAAAGUUGGGCACAUCAUCCACCAUAGCGUUCCUUUUUUUUUUUGAACUGAAAUAGCGUUCCUUCUUUCUCCUCCCUAAUCAUAUCACUGUCUCAAAGCAACUGUUAAAAAAGUCCAAUCAUCUUCAAGUAGCGAAGAUAUUCCAUCCACUUAUCAAGUUUCAGCUCUAAUUAUGAUUCAACAUUCUUAAGUAGUAUACGGAAAGUAUAUCAAACGCCCAUUACAGCCGUUUCUAAAAAUUCUCAGUCCAAUCCUAUAAAUGUACUAUCAUAUUGCAGACUGUAGAUUGGAAGAAAGAAGAAGUCCUCCGAGCAUUUUGCCUGCAAGAGGAGCUGCGGAAGCGCAAGGUUGUUCAGGAGGUCAGGAUCAUUCCUCAUAAAUCAUCCAAAAGUACUCAAGUUUUAUGUGCGGUACGAAGCUCUGCUUCAUGUGGUUUAGUUCUUGAAUAUUGCAUUAGGAUUGAUCUCAAUACAUUAUGAUAGUCAUGCAGAGGAAGAGAACUGAGAGAAAACACUUGAAAGAAGAAUGAAGAUGGUGACCUGAACUCUCAAACACCAUCCAUCACACAAUUAUCGUAAGAAGAAAAAAGGUUAAAGAGGUGAGAGAGAGUUAGGUCACUUAGAUUUUGUACGAGAUGGAUUCAUUUAACAAUGCCACCUUCCCAGAAUUUAAUAUACUGUCCUCUCUCUUUCUCUGUUAAA